rnacentral:sRNA from 1 species
UAGACAUAUCUUUUUACCGAUACGAAUAUGAUUUUUAAAAGUUAGUUUGUAUAUUUUUGGUCCUUUGUUUGAUUUAAAUAACGAGUUUGGAAAGCAGCACCCCGUGGACACGGAAGUGGGCGGAUUGGUGCUUAAAUUGAUGACCAACCUCCACGGAAAGCAACAAUUCCUCCAUAUUCAGAGAGUACACGCGUUUUCGCACCAUAGGUUCAUGAGAGCAUACUGACGCCUCAGAAUCGACACUUCCAGGUGUACCGCGGAAACUGUGGGUGAUAGAACCUAUGUUUGUU